rnacentral:sRNA from 1 species
GAAGAAGCUCCUUUCGUCGUGUUUGUACGUUGGGGUAGAUGACGCUAUGGCUUCGGUCCCGGGCUGUGUUCCGGGGGGUACCCAGGGGUGAGGCCAUGGGUAUGAAAUUUCGCAGCAUCCGAUGACAGCUAAAGGAAAAAACCUCGGGAGGAACGGCUUGAUUUUUAAAAAGAUUCUCGGGUGUUUUGGUCACACUUUUGAGCGGUUUG